ensembl:rRNA 5S_rRNA 5S ribosomal RNA
AAGGGUGCCCAUAUCACCCUGCAACUCACAACUGGCAACCCACUGAAGCUAAGCAGGUGUGAGCCUGGUCAGUACCUGGAUGGGAGACCUCCUGGGAAAAACUAAGGUUGCUGCUGGAA